GACGAACGCUGGCGGCGUGCUUAACACAUGCAAGUCGAACGGAAAGGCCCUGCUUGCAGGGUACUCGAGUGGCGAACGGGUGAGUAACACGUGGGUGAUCUGCCCUGCACUUCGGGAUAAGCCUGGGAAACUGGGUCUAAUACCGGAUAGGAGCCAUUUUUAGUGUGAUGGUUGGAAAGUUUUUUCGGUGUAGGAUGAGCUCGCGGCCUAUCAGCUUGUUGGUGGGGUAAUGGCCUACCAAGGCGGCGACGGGUAGCCGGCCUGAGAGGGUGGACGGCCAUAUUGGGACUGAGAGACGGCCCAGACUCCUACGAGAGGCAGAAGUGGGGAAUAUUGCACAAUGGGCGCAAGCCUGAUGAAGCGACGCCGCGUGGGGGAUGACGGCCUUCGGUUUGUAAACUCCUUUCGAUAGGGACGAAGCUUUUUGUGACGGUACCUAGAUAAGAAGCACCGGCUAACUACGUG
rnacentral:rRNA from 1 species